UUAGAGACUAGUCAAAAACCAUGUGAUGUUUCUGUCGCUGGUGAUCAAGGCCAACAGGGACAAGCAGAUACGUCUUCUUUAGAAUUCUUGACGUCUACUAUGUCUGCAGAUAUGGCGGAGUACUUCUAUGAUCAACAAGAAAAGCAAGAAAAUGCCGAAAAGGAAGG